ACAAAUGAGACUGUAAUUCUGAAUUUGGAUACUUCCGCCGGGGCUUCCGGAACCGACGAUGGUGGCCAAUGUGUCCAAAGAGACUUUUAAUGGCUGUUAGUGACCUAGUACUACAAAUCUAAGUAGAUGUGGCACCAUUUUGAAAAAGUUUUCACCUUUAUACAUUCAUUACAGAAUUUUGAAAAUCGACAUUGUCUGGCUAAUCGUACUCUUCACUCUGCAAUUCCGGAACCGGAAGUCGGAUCCAUUAUAAAUUCAAUAGCAGCCUAUAGGAAUGUUGUACCUUUCAUUUGAGACUAAGUUUAUGAAAAUCGGUUCACCCAUCUCUGAGAAAAGUGAGUGAGAUUGCGGUCACAUACACACACAGAAUUGACGGAUUGUAUCGAAUGGUAUAUGUCACUCGGGCCUCCGGGUCUCCGUUUAAAAGACGGUUUUCAGAGCAGUUUUCUAUUGAGAAAGGCAAAACGUAAGUCGUAUGAAUAAGUUGUAGCAAAUAGUGGCACAUUUUACACUUUUAUAAUUAGUGGCUCAUGUCCCUUCAGAUUUGACCGCACUUACCACUUGAUGACGUCCCAGUUUGAUAUUUCUUUUGAGUGUUUUGAGAAAACUGAGAAAACGAAAAUCGUCAACGCAGGCCUGGAUACGGUUAAUGAAAUAUAAACAAAUUUUGGUAUCCUCGCAUCGUUGUCCGGAGCAGUUGGAUAUCAUUGUCAUCAAUAACCCCAGGGUUGAAAAAUUGAUUCGGUUCUGUGACUUCGAAUCUAAAGACUAUGGCGUGUGGCAUCGAAGAAUUCAUUCCGUGCAUUUUAGGUCGUCUUGUUUCAAACACCUAUUAAAUCUAUCUAAAGGAUGAUGAUCGAGUUGCACUUUUUGUUGCCAACGAACGGAAAACAGCGACCAGCUGCUGCAUUUGCUCCACCACCCGUUUUUUAUAAGAGAUCAGAGAUGUGUAUUUUCGCUCUGCAGUUUGUUGCUUUUAGCUAAAUAGUUGAAGAAAUUUUUCUCUUCAAAAUAUUUGAUUAUUUCUGCUGCCUCUGCACUCCUUGCUGUCGUUCGAUUCCGUUCACGUAGCUUCGACGUGCUGCCUCGUUGGUAGCGAGCCGCGUGGCUUGUUUCGAUAUUCCACCUGUUGCUAUGGGCCUUGGUUGCGUUUAGAUGACCUCGCAUCUGCGUGGUGACUUCAGGAAACUAUUCAGUCAUGUCAAACUGAGGCUUCCAAUAGUCAACACCGGUGAAACAACGUCAUCUCGGUUAUUGACUUCAGAUACAUCGAGCAAUACGGAACAUUUGAACAAGACUGUAGCUUACCCGAGCUCCGAGCCACUACAAUUCCAUUUGACUUUAGUCAUACCGGCUGGAAUAUAAUAUAGAAUUUUGGCUGUCUAAGAGACAAGUAUUUUAA